UACGUAAUAUAAGCUUCAAUUUAAGGUAAAAUUCAACCACCAACGCUUCGCAAAACGUUUUAAAGUGUUCUUUAUAAAACUAAACUGCCUUUUGGCUUUAUCGAUAAACAUUGAGUUUCAAAUAAAAUGAUUUCAAAUUUUCGCAUGCAAAUAACUUUGCUUCCUUUUUUAUUUAAAAAAAAUUAAUAUAAUAAAAAAGAGUAGUCAAUAAAGUAUACACUGAAAUUAUAUGCUGUCUUGUUUCGUUUAUACGCAACGUUUAUACGAUCGGCUUUUAAAGCAAUUAUAAAGCAAACAAUACAUUAAUAUUUAAAACAAACUUACCUUCGUUAACGUCGGCGCCUUUGCUCCCUUCUUUUAGCCGAUUCUUUCGCCCUUUUUUCUUAAAAAGCUUUUGAAAUUCACAAAAUCUUGUAAAAAUGAAAUAUAUUUGCAAGAAAUCAUCAAAUCAAGAAAUGUUUGCUAUUUCGCUGUCGUCAUGCAGUCGUUAUAAUGCAAAUUUUAAAUUUGACCAAUCAGUGUUCGCUAUUCAUGACAGUCCGCCAUAUUUUUGAGAUCAGUGAGGAUGACCACCUACCGUUGGUCACUCACGCCCGCGAUCAUUGAUGAACUUUAGACUUCGCUAAUGCUUUCGUUUCCCUGGGUGUAAAUAGCCGGGGGGAAUGAAUACCCUCGCCCCGGGCUUACGCCUGGUCGGGGAAAAUAUACAUGCAUUUUUAAAACUUUAAUUGCUUUCUUUUUUAUUAAAAAAAAUAGUAUAAUAAAAAAAGGUAAUCAAUAAAGAUACACUGAAAUUAUAUGCUGUCUUGUUUCAUUAUACGCAACGAUCAGCUUUUAAAGCAAACAAUCCUUCCUUCUGGGCGUGAAUUCUGUUUAAAUAAAGUCCAUGGAAAUUCCAAUAUUAACAUGUCAACAAUCGAAGCGUUGAAGAACUAGACUUGCAGGAACUAGAUUUGUAAGCUAUAACUAUAUAAAGGUAGAAACUAUAAAAUUGCAC